GACGAACGCUGGCGGCGUGCUUAACACAUGCAAGUCGAGCGGUAAGGCCCUUUCGGGGGUACACGAGCGGCGAACGGGUGAGUAACACGUGGGUGACCUGCCCUCAGCUCUGGGAUAAGCCUGGGAAACUGGGUCUAAUACCGGAUAUGACUCCAUGACGCAUGUUGUGGGGUGGAAAGCCUUGUGCGGCUGAGGAUGGGCCCGCGGCCUAUCAGCUUGUUGGUGGGGUGANGGCCUACCAAGGCGACGACGGGUAGCCGGCCUGGGAGGGCGACCGGCCACACUGGGACUGAGACACGGCCCAGACUCCUACGGGAGGCAGCAGUGGGGAAUCUUGCGCAAUGGGCGAAAGCCUGACGCAGCGACGCCGCGUGAGGGAUGACGGCCUGUGU
rnacentral:rRNA from 1 species